rnacentral:rRNA from 1 species
GACGAACGCUAGCGGCGUGCUUAACACAUGCAAGUCGAACGGAAAGGCCCUGCUUUUGUGGGGUGCUCGAGUGGCGAACGGGUGAGUAACACGUGAGUAACCUGCCCUUGACUUUGGGAUAACUUCAGGAAACUGGGGCUAAUACCGGAUAGGAGCUCCUGCUGCAUGGUGGGGGUUGGAAAGUUUCGGCGGUUGGGGAUGGACUCGCGGCUUAUCAGCUUGUUGGUGGGGUAGUGGCUUACCAAGGCUUUGACGGGUAGCCGGCCUGAGAGGGUGACCGGCCACAUUGGGACUGAGAUACGGCCCAGACUCCUACGGGAGGCAGCAGUGGGGAAUAUUGCACAAUGGGCGGAAGCCUGAUGCAGCAACGCCGCGUGCGGGAUGACGGCCUUCGGGUUGUAAACCGCUUUCGCCUGUGACGAAGCGUGAGUGACGGUAAUGGGUAAUGAAGCACCGGCUAACUACGUG